rnacentral:rRNA from 1 species
UGGGGAAUUUUGGACAAUGGGGGCAACCCUGAUCCAGCAAUGCCGCGUGUGUGAAGAAGGCCUUCGGGUUGUAAAGCACUUUUGUCCGGAAAGAAAACGCCGUGGUUAAUACCCGUGGCGGAUGACGGUACCGGAAGAAUAAGCACCGGCUAACUACGUGCCAGCAGCCGCGGUAAUACGUAGGGUGCAAGCGUUAAUCGGAAUUACUGGGCGUAAAGCGUGCGCAGGCGGUCCGCUAAGACAGAUGUGAAAUCCCCGGGCUUAACCUGGGAACUGCAUUUGUGACUGGCGGGCUAGAGUAUGGCAGAGGGGGGUAGAAUUCCACGUGUAGCAGUGAAAUGCGUAGAGAUGUGGAGGAAUACCGAUGGCGAAGGCAGCCCCCUGGGCCAAUACUGACGCUCAUGCACGAAAGCGUGGGGGAGCAAACAGGAUUAGAUACCCUGGUAGUCCACGCCCUAAACGAUGUCAACUAGUUGUC